rnacentral:rRNA from 1 species
CGGUUAAGUUAGAAAGGGCGCACGGUGGAUGCCUUGGCACUAGGAGCCGAUGAAGGACGGGACGAACACCGAUAUGCUUCGGGGAGCUGUAAGCAAGCUUUGAUCCGGAGAUUUCCGAAUGGGGAAACCCACCACUCGUAAUGGAGUGGUAUCCAUAUCUGAAUUCAUAGGAUAUGAGAAGGCAGACCCGGGGAACUGAAACAUCUAAGUACCCGGAGGAAGAGAAAGCAAAUGCGAUUCCCUGAGUAGCGGCGAGCGAAACGGGAUUAGCCCAAACCGGUUGUAGGACACUCUGUACGGAGUUACAAAGGAACGAGGUAGAUGAAGAGGUCUGGAAAGGCCCGCCAUAGGAGGUAACAGUGUAGUCAAAACUUCGUUCUCUCCUGAGUGGAUCCUGAGUACGGCGGAACACGUGAAAUUCCGUCGGAAUCCGGGAGGACCAUCUCCCAAGGCUAAAUACUCCCUAGUGACCGAUAGUGAACCAGUACCGUGAGGGAAAGGUGAAAAGCACCCCGGAAGGGGAGUGAAAGAGAUCCUGAAACCGUGUGCCUACAAGUAGUCAGAGCCCGUUAACGGGUGAUGGCGUGCCUUUUGUAGAAUGAACCGGCGAGUUACGAUCUCGUGCAAGGUUAAGCAGAAGAUGCGGAGCCGCAGCGAAAGCGAGUCUGAAUAGGGCGCAUGAGUACGUGGUCGUAGACCCGAAACCAGGUGAUCUACCCAUGUCCAGGGUGAAGUUCAGGUAACACUGAAUGGAGGCCCGAACCCACGCACGUUGAAAAGUGCGGGGAUGAGGUGUGGGUAGGGGUGAAAUAGCUUUAGGGCUAGCCUCAAGGUAAGAGUCUUGGAGGUAGAGCACUGAUUGGACUAGGGGCCCCUACCGGGUUACCGAAUUCAGUCAAACUCCGAAUGCCAAUGACUUAUCCUUGGGAGUCAGACUGCGAGUGAUAAGAUCCGUAGUCGAAAGGGAAACAGCCCAGACCGCCAGCUAAGGUCCCAAAGUAUACGUUAAGUGGAAAAGGAUGUGGAGUUGCUUAGACAACCAGGAUGUUGGCUUAGAAGCAGCCACCAUUUAAAGAGUGCGUAAUAGCUCACUGGUCGAGUGACUCUGCGCCGAAAAUGUACCGGGGCUAAACGUAUCACCGAAGCUGCGGACUGUUCUUCGAACAGUGGUAGGAGAGCGUUCUAAGGGCUGUGAAGCCAGACCGGAAGGACUGGUGGAGCGCUUAGAAGUGAGAAUGCCGGUAUGAGUAGCGAAAGAGGGGUGAGAAUCCCCUCCACCGAAUGCCUAAGGUUUCCUGAGGAAGGCUCGUCCGCUCAGGGUUAGUCGGGACCUAAGCCGAGGCCGAAAGGCGUAGGCGAUGGACAACAGGUUGAUAUUCCUGUACCACCUCCUCACCAUUUGAGCAAUGGGGGGACGCAGGAGGAUAGGGUAAGCGCGGUAUUGGAUAUCCGCGUCCAAGCAGUUAGGCUGGGAAAUAGGCAAAUCCGUUUCCCAUAAGGCUGAGCUGUGAUGGCGAGCGAAAUAUAGUAGCGAAGUUCCUGAUUCCACACUGCCAAGAAAAGCCUCUAGCGAGGUGAGAGGUGCCCGUACCGCAAACCGACACAGGUAGGCGAGGAGAGAAUCCUAAGGUGAUCGAGAGAACUCUCGUUAAGGAACUCGGCAAAAUGACCCCGUAACUUCGGGAGAAGGGGUGCUCUGUUAGGGUGCAAGCCCGAGAGAGCCGCAGUGAAUAGGCCCAGGCGACUGUUUAGCAAAAACACAGGUCUCUGCGAAGCCGUAAGGCGAAGUAUAGGGGCUGACGCCUGCCCGGUGCUGGAAGGUUAAGAGGAGCGCUUAGCGUAAGCGAAGGUGCGAAUUGAAGCCCCAGUAAACGGCGGCCGUAACUAUAACGGUCCUAAGGUAGCGAAAUUCCUUGUCGGGUAAGUUCCGACCCGCACGAAAGGCGCAACGAUCUGGGCACUGUCUCAACGAGAGACUCGGUGAAAUUAUAGUACCUGUGAAGAUGCAGGUUACCCGCGACAGGACGGAAAGACCCCGUGGAGCUUUACUGCAGCCUGAUAUUGAAUGUUGGUACAGCUUGUACAGGAUAGGUAGGAGCCUUGGAAACCGGAGCGCCAGCUUCGGUGGAGGCAUCGGUGGGAUACUACCCUGGCUGUAUUGACCUUCUAACCCGCCGCCCUUGGCGCCCAAAGGUUCCCUCAGAAUGGUUGGAAAUCAUUCGCAGAGUGUAAAGGCACAAGGGAGCUUGACUGCGAGACCUACAAGUCGAGCAGGGACGAAAGUCGGGCUUAGUGAUCCGGUGGUUCCGCAUGGAAGGGCCAUCGCUCAACGGAUAAAAGCUACCCCGGGGAUAACAGGCUUAUCUCCCCCAAGAGUCCACAUCGACGGGGAGGUUUGGCACCUCGAUGUCGGCUCAUCGCAUCCUGGGGCUGUAGUCGGUCCCAAGGGUUGGGCUGUUCGCCCAUUAAAGCGGUACGCGAGCUGGGUUCAGAACGUCGUGAGACAGUUCGGUCCCUAUCCGUCGCGGGCGCAGGAAAUUUGAGAGGAGCUGUCCUUAGUACGAGAGGACCGGGAUGGACGCACCGCUGGUGUACCAGUUGUUCUGCCAAGGGCAUCGCUGGGUAGCUAUGUGCGGACGGGAUAAGUGCUGAAAGCAUCUAAGCAUGAAGCCCCCCUCAAGAUGAGAUUUCCCAUUCCGCAAGGAAGUAAGAUCCCUGAAAGAUGAUCAGGUUGAUAGGUCUGAGGUGGAAGUGUGGCGACACAUGGAGCUGACAGAUACUAAUCGAUCGAGGACUUAACCAUAUUU